rnacentral:rRNA from 1 species
UUAAGAUACUAAGAGCAUACGGUGGAUGCCUUGGCGAUAUCUGCCGACGAAGGACGUGACAAGCUGCGAAAAGCUGCGGAGAGAUGCAAAUAAUCGGCGACCCGCAGACAUCCGAAUGGAGAAAUCCGGCUGUGAUGAUGCACAGCCAUCCAUGCCCAAGAGCAUGAGAAGGGAACCGGGCGAACUGAAACAUCUAAGUAACCCGAGGAAAAGAAAUCAAACGAGAUACCCCAAGUAGCGGCGAGCGAACAGGGAAGAAGCCCAAACCGGUGAAGGAAACUUUACCGGGGUUGAGGACCAUCAGAACCGCGAAGAACCUUAGCCGAAACUGUUGGGAAACAGUGCCGAAGACAGUGAAAGCCUGGUAGGCGAAAAAGAGAAACACGGAGAUGGCACCGGAGUACCGCGGGACACGAGAAAUCCCGUGGGAAGCAGGGGGGACCACCCUCCAAGGCAAAACACAGAUAUCGACCGAUAGCGCAUAGUACCAUGAGGGAAAGGUGAAAAGCACCCCGGGAGGGGAAUGAAAGAGAACCUGAAACCGUAUGUUUACAAGCAGUCGGAGACCGCUUAAUAAUAAGGUCGACGGCGUGCCUAUUGAAGAAUGAACCGGCGAGUUACGAAGCCUGGCAAGGUUAAGCAGGAAAUGCGGAGCCGAAGCGAAAGCGAGUCUUAAGAGGGCGCAAGUCAGGAAGCGUAGACCCGAAACCACAGUGAUCUACCCAUGUCCAGGUUGAAACACAGGUAAAAAUGUGUGGAGGACCGAACCUAUAUCCGUUGAAAAGGGUUAGGAUGAGGUGUGGGUAGGGGUGAAAUUCCAAUCGAACGUGGAGAUAGCUGGUUCUCCCCGAAAUAGCUUUAGGGCUAGCCUCAGGGAAAAGAUUGCAGGCGGUAGAGCACUGAUCAGGAGAGGGACCUACCCGGUUACCAAACCCAGUCAAACUCCGAAUGGCUGCAAUCAUACCUGGGAGUCAGACUGCGACUAAUAAGGGCCGCAGUCAAAAGGGAAACAGCCCAGACCAUCAGCUAAGGUCCCCAAUGCCGUGCUAAGUGGCGAAGGAUGUGGCAUUUCAUAAACAACCAGGAUGUUGGCUCAGAAGCAGCCACCAUUUAAAGAGUGCGUAAUAGCUCACUGGUCGAGAGACGCUGCGCCGAAAAUGUCCGGGGCUCAAGCACGGAACCGAAGCUAUGGCAUGAUAGCAAUAUCAUGGGUAGGGGAGCGUUCUUAUAAGGAAGAAGCAUGACCGGAAGGACAUGUGGACGAAUAAGAAGUGAGAAUGCCGGUAUGAGUAUCGAAAAGAAAGGUGAGAAUCCUUUCCACCGAAAGCCCGAGGGUUCCUGAGCAACGAUCGUCGACUCAGGGUAAGUCGGGACCUAAGCCGAGGCGGAAAGCGUAGGCGAUGGACAACAGGUUGAAAUUCCUGUACCGGAUCAAGUCGAUCGAGCGAAGGAGCGACGCAGGAGGGCACAUGAUCGCGCGGCUGGAAGAGCGCGUCCAAGUGCGUAUGCUGCUGCAGAGGAAAACCCCUGCAGCUAAAAGCAGAGACAUGAUGGGGAGUUAAAGGAAACUUUGACGAACUCAUGGAUCCCACACUGCCAAGAAAAACUUCUAGCGAGACAAGAUCCGCCCGUACCGUAAACCGACACAGGUAGGCGGGGAGAGAAUCCUAAGGUGCGCGGGAAAACCCUCGUUAAGGAACUCGGCAAAUUGCAUCCGUAACCUAGGGAGAAGGAUGGCCCCCGGUCAGUGAAGAGCAGAAACGCUCAGAGCUAAAAGGGGCGGCAGAAAAGAGGCCCAAGCAACUGUUUACCAAAAACACAGGUGCCUGCGAAAGCGAAAGCUGAAGUAUAGGUGCUGACGCCUGCCCGGUGCCGGAAGGUUAAGGAGAGAAGUUAGCGAAAGCGAAGCAUCGAACUGAAGCCCCGGUGAACGGCGGCCGUAACUAUAACGGUCCUAAGGUAGCGAAAUUCCUUGUCGGGU